CCCGAUGGCUCAGUGGUAAAGCAUCUGCCUGCAAUGCAGAAGACCAGGUUUCAAGCCCUGGGUCAGGA
rnacentral:tRNA from 1 species